UUACUUCAACUUACAUUUUCUGUUAAUGUUGGUAAGGAUUUAGUAAAGUAACAAGAAUACACAUUAUCUAAAGAGGCAAUUUUAAAGAAAAAUUAAUAAAGCGUCCUUAAAAUUGAAACUUAUCAGUGUUGGUUGGGCCAGGCAGUCACAGUUUAGAACUUGCUGUUCAAAAGGCAGGAGUGAUGCCAGAAAGAGCUACCCUCCCGUGCUCCGAACAAGCCUGCCAUAGUCAGUUCUGUACAGUGACAGGCAACAUCGCGGGGAGGAAGGAUCUCGCCAGUCGACACCAAUGGGGCUGCUCUACGGGCUCCCCUAUUCUCAGGCCCACAGAUCUCAGGAAGCCUCUGCAGUCAGAGGAUAUGGGUGGAGAGGGGAAACUGAGACCCAGAGACGGGAAGUGCUUGCCCAGAGACAUUCAGCUUGUCAGUAGUGGAUCUGGGACUAGAACCCAGCGCUGCCUGUUGCUAGCUUUGAGGUCUUUCUACAAGGAGGAGGGCUUCCCUAAAUCCCAGUAAGUCCAUCUUUCCCUAUAGUUGGCUAAAACUGAGCACAAUGCACUCUCUCACUUUAUUCCUACAAUACCCAGAGAAGUAGGCAGCAGAGGCACAGUUAGCCAUUUCCAGUUGGAGAAAAUGAGACACAGGCACCUUAGGCCUUUCUCGCAGGGCCCCACCAGUUCCCAGAGGUCAGGCUGGUGCUCAGGACCACUGUGCAUAAAACGCGGGUGGCCCCCGAGACCCCCAACCCUCCAGGUCCCGUCUGGCUCACAUCGUUGCUGAUGGUGGAGUCUCGGUGGAUGAGGCGCUGCACGUGGCUGUCGAUGCUGCUGCCUGAGGAGAACUUGGUGCGUGUGGCUGGGUGGGCCUCCCGCUCCCGCUGCCUCACCACCACCUCGCAGGCCUUCCACUCUGCCAACACCUGCUGGUACCUUGCUGCCACCACUGCGUCCACCUGUACUCAGACCACACCACGACCAUGGGGGAAGCGUGCACCAGGCCCUCCCCUUCAGGAGCUGGGCCUGCACUGGACCUUGGGUCCUGAGUCUCAGACUCAAGACGGGCCUCAGGGUAAGGACGGUGGAGCUGCCCUGCCAUGCUUCUUUCCGGCUGGGAAGGGGCUGAGGCUUCCAAGGUCCCCUCCCUGGCGUCCCCUGGCCCAGCUCCCCAUCUCAUCAGCCCCAUGGGAACAGGCUCCCCUCACCUGCUCCAUCUCCUUCUUGCUCAUGCCGAACUUGUAGUGGCCAAGCAGAAAGGGCCAGACGUCCUUGCGGAUCUCGUGCUCUAUGCCUCCGUAGUAAACUUGCCGCAGCAGCUCCAGCUCUUUGUAGUUCUGAGGGACCCGGGGAGUCAAGACUGUGCAGCCUCCACAGUCACCGUGGCCCAGCUGGGUGAGCCCCAUCCCACGGAGAAUGGGCUGGGGCGGGGCCUGUAGUGACUGCUGAAGCCCAGGCAAGGCCUGCUUUGGGGUGGCCACGUCCUCCCGUGCCCCAGCUCACAGUGGGAUGAGAUCUCGUUCUGCUCUCCUUCCUUAAGGGGCAGGAAAUGGCGCCCGGAGAGAGGCAAAGCUUUGUCCAGGGUCACAGGGCGAUGUGGAGGCAGGACGGCUUCCCAGUCCAGCCCCCUUCCCGUGUCAGCCCCAGGCCCAGCUGCAAGAGAUUCUGCCGGGACCCUGGUCACUCCGUGGCAUCGGCCCUGGCCUGUCAACCGCACCCACUGGCACAUUUUACCCUGAAGCCCUCACUCCUGCCCGCCCCAGCCCCUCGACCUGUGGCCCUGGAACCCCAGGGUUGGCACCUUUUUGUCCUUCUGAUACUUGCUCCACACGUCCUUGGUGAGGCCCGCGGAGGCCCCCGGGGGCCGGUCAGGUGGGAUAACGCUAUGGUGCACCAGCGCCGACAGGUGGGUCCGCACCGUGGACAGGUGGCGGCAGUGUGCCAGCCCUGCGGUGGGCAGCGGUGGGCAGCAGGAGGCUGGGACCCAGGGCCGCCCGCCCCCAGCCCGCCACAGCCCGGCGCGCCCCACACUCACAGCCGUAGAAGGCCCGGGACACGAUCUGCCUCUUCAUACUCUCACACAGUAGCCUGAGCGGCAACCUGUGGCAACAACCGGGCUCAGCAGGGAGGGGCUGCGGCCCCUCUGGUGGGAGGAGAGAGAGAAGGGAGGAGGCUCUGUCCUGGGGGGCAGGUAAGGCACUGGGGAGGGUGCGAGGAGGAGGAGCCGCAGCCCAGCAGCCGUCAGUGGGUGCCCUGUCCCUGCCUGCCACCUGGACAGAGUGCUGUGGGGCCCCCGCCUGGCCCCCAACCACCCAGGGAUCUUGGUCAACGAACUUCACCUACAUGAAUCUUCGUUUCCUCAUGUGAAAAAUGGAGAGAGGCAGCGGAGGAUCAUCAGGAUUAAUAAACGGAAGACGAAGUAAAGGU
rnacentral:lncRNA from 1 species